UGCGAGUCAUUGUAGCAAUACAAGGCAGACGGCUCAGUAACGUGUAGUCAACCUAACCUAUGGACGGGAAUAACCUCGGGAAACUGAGUAUAAUGCCCGAUAGAACAUUAUGCCUGGAAUGGUUUAUGUUCCAAAUGAUUUAUCGCCGUAGGAUGGGACUGCGGCCUAUCAGUUUGUUGGUGAGGUAAUGGCCCACCAAGACUAUUACAGGUACGGGCUCUGAGAGGAGUAGCCCGGAGAUGGGUACUGAGACACGGACCCAGGCCCUAUGGGGCGCAGCAGGCGAGAAAACCUUGCAAUGUGCGAAAGCACGACAAGGUUAAUCCGAGUGGUUUCUGCUAAAGGAACCUUUUGUCGGUCCUAGAAACACCGAUGAAUAAGGGGUGGGCAAGUUCUGGUGUCAGCCGCCGCGGUAAAACCAGCACCUCAAGUGGUCAGGAUGAUUAUUGGGCCUAAAGCAUCCCGUAGCCGGCGCUGUAAGUUUUCGGUUAAAUCUGUACGCUCAACGUACAGGCUGCCGGGAAUGCUGCAGCGCUAGGGAGUGGGAGAGGUAGACGGUACUCGGUAGGAAGGGGUAAAAUCCUUUGAUCUAUUGAUGACCACCUGUGGCGAAGGCGGUCUACCGGAACACGUCCGACGGUGAGGGAUGAAAGCUGGGGGAGCAAACCGGAUUAGAUACCCCGGGUAGUCCCAGCUGUAAACUAUGCAAACUCAGUGAUGCAUUGGCUCGUGGCCAAUGCAGUGCUGCAGGGAAGCCGUUAAGUUUGCCGCCUGGGAAGUACGUACGCAAGUAUGAAACUUAAAGGAAUUGGCGGGGG
rnacentral:rRNA from 1 species